AGUUCCUGAGAAUAGGGUGACAUAGGGUUUAGGUCUAACAUAAAGGAUUUGGGGUUCACUGUAAAAUUGCUUUUGAUUGUAUAAGAUUACACUGGUAAACGAUUUUACAGUAUAAGCACGCCUCAUCUCUCUCUACCAAAUCUCUGAUGCAUACGGUGCAUCUUCUACAAAAUCUAACUAAAGAUUUCCGUCCUAUACAUACAGAAGAUUGUAUUAUUGAUAUAUUAUCGAAUUCUUCAUCCUCCGAGCCUCUAUAUAAGUGAGUUGCCCGGUUUUAUCAUUUCAAGAACACACAGUCGAUCAAAGUAGAGGUACAAUCGAAGAAAGUCUUAAGUUUGCAAAAGCUUUUCUUUAAGAAGAUGGAUCGCGUAUUUCGUCUGUGGCGAGGGGUUUGGAAGAAGAAUGAAAGGCUCCACUGGCAUUUCGUCCCCACCCCUACUGAUUACGGGUUCACCAUGUUCAUGGAUUCUCCUGAGACUUUCGAGAGGGUUGAAGCAGCUGUGAGGGAACAUUAUGUUCUCGGUCUACGAUUAUAGGGGUUAAUGGCUCGGAAAGGCUGUAAAGGCAACAGAGUCUUAACGCACAUCAAACAAUGUCGUUUUUUUGGGUUUUCCUAUAUCAUUAAAUACGCAUAAGUGUCUUGGUAUAGCUCCAAAUUUCUCUUAGUUUUAUGGGUUACAAUUCAAAAUAAAAUGAUAAGGAGUGAAUUAGCUCAUC